UUGUUUAAAAAAAAAAUACUGAUUCAUAACACACACUGUACAUUUGAGUUUAACUGACCUCUAGGAAUUACAAAAUACUUGAGUACAUGAACAUUGUUGAAUUUCUGCUGUUUACUUUGGCAUUCCUGCUGGUCCAAGAUCAGUUUGUCCUAAAGUAAGUAUUGCAGGUGCUAUUGCAGUUAGAGAAAGCCCAAUACCGGAUUUGGCAGACACUAAACAAAUUGGGGGAAAUGUAGAUUUCCCUCAUGCUAGACCUAGUGUGCUAUGGAGGCCACGCUACACAGGCAUUAACGUCCAAAUAUGGAAACAAAGUAACAUGAGCAGAGAAUCUAAGGCCAGGUCUACACUUUACAUUAAUAAUAGUUAUUCAGACCUGCAUGAGGUUUUUGCACAACCUAAAUAUAGUCAUCGAUAAAUUAGCACUCUUAGAUCUCCAAAAUCUGUACAAACAUUAGACCAAACUUAAUUCCUGCUGUAAUUCUAAGGAAGUAACUGGAGGAUUGACAAAGGAAUUAAUUUUGCCCAUUAUUUGUCAACGCUACUGUGUGGUAGAAAGUAAACAGAGAUGGACCUCUUCCGUUUGCUGGGAUCUUGUGUUGUGAGAAGAAAAGCAUCAAAGGAACUCUUCCAUGUUAUGUAAAUAGCAAAGUAUGAGCACUCAUACUGCUAUGCGCCUCACAGGUUUCCUGUUGCUCCUCUAUCCAACAGAUAUGAACUUCUCUACAUUCUAACUCAAUGGGCAGUUUAAUGCUUUCCCUAUAACUCUAUAAGGCACUGUCAUUCAUAAUUCUGAUUUUAAGAUAUUGUUUGCAAUGCCCUUUCAUUGAUUUCAAGGCCCCAAGUGACCACUGUGAUCACCUAGUCUGACCACCGGUGUAACAAAGGCCAUAGAACUUCCCCAAAAUAAUUCCUAUUUGCCUAGAGAUUAUCUUUCAGAAAAUCAUCCAGUUUGACUGAAAAACCUUGCCUGUGAUGGAGAAUUGAUCAAAAUUAUCAGUUAACUGCCCUUACUGUUUAAAAAAAAAUUGUCUUAUUUCCAGUCUGAAUUUGUUGAGCUUCAAUUUCCAGCCAUUGUAUUUGUUACAUUUCUCUGCUAAAUUGGAAGAGCCUAUAAUCAAAUAUUUAUUUCCCAUGUAGGUACUUACAGACUGUGAUCAGAACCCCCUUUAACCUUCUCUUUGAUAAACUAAAUAUAGUGAGACACAAGGAACUUAGUCUAAGGCAUGUUUUCUAAUCCUUGGCUCUUCUCUGAACCCUCUCCAAUUUAUCAGCAUCCUUCUUACAUUGUGAACACAGGCACUGGCCAUAGGAUUCCAACAGUGGUCACAGUUCAGUGGUAAAAUAACAGUUGCUAUUUGCUUCUACUAUUCCCCUGUUUAUGCAACUAAGGAUCACAUUAACCCUUUUGGCCACAGUGUUGCGCUGGGAGCUCCUUUUCAGCUAACUAUCCAGCAUGACCCUGAAGACCUUUUCAGAUUCAGUGCUUCCCAGGAUAGUCCCCCAUUUUGUAAGUAUGGCCUCCGUUCUUUGUUCCUAGAGGUUACAUUUAGCUGCAUUAAAAAGUUUAUGCCCAUAUAAAAUGACUCAGGUCACUGACCUGGUCUCUUCAUUAUUUACCACUCCCACGAUUCUUGUGUAAUCUGCAAACUUUAUUAAUUAUUUUUUCUUCUUCCAGGUGAUUGAUGAAAAUGUUAAAUAGUGGAGGGCCAAGAACAGAUCCCUGCAGGACACCACUAGAAACGCAUCAUCCCCUUGUUGAAGCUUAGAAGAUCUCCUUGUCAGUUUUGUCCUUUUGCAUUCAGAAAACUCUAUUCUACAGUGGAAUUGAAAAUUAACAAGUGGCCUAUAUGAGACACAAGGAACUCAGUCUAAGGCCAACUGAGCGCACACAAGGGCUUCCUGCCUAUUGAAUCAAGGUCAUGGAACUUUGGGAGAAAUAAGCAAGGACAGAAAGCCAUUUUAGGCAUCCUUCACUGGACAGAUGCUGGAGGGAAGAGCUUUCAGAAGCUGAGAUUGGUCCUUCAUCUCAAGGAUGGGGUUGGAGUCUCUGGGAACUGGACUAUAGCAUAAGGGGCGGCUAGCAUCUAAGAUCUUUCACUAGGGAAGACAAGGGAAGCCAGCCUUUCUUUAUCUGUGAAGAGAUCCUGGCCAAAGGUGUGGUCAGCCAUUUUGAGUCACUUUGUUGACAACACAUGGUAAGGAUUUUUUUACAUUGAAACGAGACAGUAGUUUGUUAAAUCUUAGCCAUAAGAAAGCACGUUUUGUUUUGUUGUUUCCUUGAACUCAUUCAGUUCACUCAUUUAAUUCAUGCUCUUUUGUUAAUACAAUUGUUUAUUAUUAUUUUACUAUAAACCAAUCUAGUGGUGUCUUUAACUUGGAGUAUUAACUCCAGUUAGUGAUAAACUGGUGGGUUUUGUCUUUUUACAGGAACAACAAACCUUAUUGUUUCUCUGUGCUGUCCAGGAGAGGCCUCAACACUGCAGGGCACACGGUUAGGAAAAAAUUCAGGGCUGGGAGUGUAUUGGGGAUUGUUAGGGAAAAAGGGAAUUAAAGGGAUGUAUUAAAGGACCACUGCUAAUGAUGGAAGUUCGGAUUAUCCCGUAUUUAGAGUCUGUCAGAUAUGGUCUCAGUGAAACUGAAGAAGGACAAGAUUAAAGGUGAAUGAAAAGACAGUUUAUUAGGUACAGGUAAGUAAAGAACACCCAAUGGUUCGUAAUCAAGGGCGUGAAGUUAUGGACUAACAGUCAAGAAAUCUAUACUUUACAGAUGAAACGCCAAUCACGGAGGGAGGGUCAUGUCCGACUGAUUGCCUCAGCUCUGGUGCGGUGGACGACCCGGACAUUCUACUGUGCCUGGUAAUGUGCACAGGAGGAACACGGAUCAAAUCGGCUGCUGGACCAGAAUCCCUCAAUCUCAGGUAACAAGCUGUGUGGAUGGGGGCAAGCAGCAGAUGCCAUAUAUCUCAACUUUAGUAAGGCUUUUGAUACUGUCUCACAAGACCUUCUCAUAAGCAAACUAGGGAAAAAAGCCUCAACAAACAUACUAUAAGGUGGGUGCACAACUGUUUGGAAAACCAUAC